rnacentral:rRNA from 1 species
AUUGAACGCUGGCGGCAUGCCUUACACAUGCAAGUCGAACGGUAACGGGCCUUCGGGUGCCGACGAGUGGCGAACGGGUGAGUAAUACAUCGGAACGUGCCCGAUCGUGGGGGAUAACGAGGCGAAAGCUUUGCUAAUACCGCAUACGAUCUACGGACGAAAGCAGGGGACCGCAAGGCCUUGCGCGGACGGAGCGGCCGAUGGCAGAUUAGGUAGUUGGUGGGAUAAAAGCUUACCAAGCCGACGAUCUGUAGCUGGUCUGAGAGGAUGAUCAGCCACACUUGGACCGAGGCCAGGCCCAGACUCCUAAGGGAGGCAGCAGUGGGGAAUUUUGGACAAUGGGCGCAAGCCUGAUCCAGCCAUGCCGCGUGCAGGAUGAAGGCCUUCGGGUUGUAAACUGCUUUUGUACGGAACGAAAAGCCUUCUUUUAAUACAGGAGGGUCAUGACGGUACCGUAAGAAUAAGCACCGGCUAACUACGUG